rnacentral:rRNA from 1 species
UACGUAGGCAGCAAGCGUUGUUCGGAAUUACUGGGCGUAAAGAGUGUGUAGGCGGUGCUCUAAGUCUGUCGUGAAAUCCCCGGGCUCAACCUGGGAAUUGCGAUGGAGACUGCAAGGCUAGAAUCUGGCAGAGGGGGGUAGAAUUCCACGUGUAGCAGUGAAAUGCGUAGAGAUGUGGAGGAACACCGAUGGCGAAGGCAGCCCCCUGGGUCAAGAUUGACGCUCAUGCACGAAAGCGUGGGGAGCAAACAGG